rnacentral:rRNA from 1 species
AUGCAAGCAUGUUCCUUAUUACUAGGUAGACCAUGGCAAUUUGAUAAAAAUUCUGUACACCAUGGUAGAAACAAUCACUAUACUCUUGUUCAUAAGGAUAAAAAUAUUACUUUGCUUCCUAUGACUCCUGAUUCCAUUUUGAAAGAUGAUAUUUAUAGAGCUAAUAAAGCACAACAGGAGAAGAAUAAGAGUGAAAAUCAGAUUGUGGCAAAAGAAUUUGAGCAACAAAUGAAGCCUAAUAAUAAACCAUCUAGUGUUGCUUCUGAAAUUAAAUUGAAAAGUGCAUGUUUAUUUGCCACCAAAUCUGAUAUUGAUGAGCUAGAUUUCAGCAAAUCUGUUUGCUAUGCUUUUGUGUGCAAAGAGGCAUUAUUUUCAUUCGAGGACGUGCCUUCCUCUUUGCCUCCUGCUGUCACUAACAUUUUGCAGGAGUUCGCUGACGUUUUUCCACAAGACGUGCCACCGGGAUUACCGCCUAUUCGAGGGAUUGAGCAUCAGAUUGACUUAAUUCCCGAUGCUUCACUGCCAAACCGUGCACCAUACCGUACCAAUCCAGAGGAGACGAAGGAGAUUAUGCGCAAGUACAAGAGCUUCUCGACAAAGGUUAUAUACGCGAAUCCCUUAGUCCUUGUGCUGUUCCUAUUAUUCUAG